CCGCGGGAUUAGAGUUUGAUCAUGGCUCAGAUUGAACGCUGGCGGCAGGCUUAACACAUGCAAGUCGAGCGGUAACAGAAAUAGCUUGCUAUUUGCUGACGAGCGGCGGACGGGUGAGUAAUGCUUGGGAAUAUGCCUUAUGGUGGGGGACAACAGUUGGAAACGACUGCUAAUACCGCAUAAUGUCUACGGACCAAAGGGGGGGAUCUUCGGACCUCUCGCCAGUUGAUUAGCCCAAGUGAGAUUAGCUAGUUGGUAAGGUAAUGGCUUACCAAGGCGACGAUCUCUAGCUGGUUUGAGAGGAUGAUCAGCCACACUGGGACUGAGACACGGCCCAGACUCCUACGGGAGGCAGCAGUGGGGAAUAUUGCACAAUGGGGGGAACCCUGAUGCAGCCAUGCCGCGUGUGUGAAGAAGGCCUUCGGGUUGUAAAGCACUUUCAGUUGUGAGGAAAGGUGUGUAGUUAAUAGCUGCAUACUGUGACGUUAACAACAGAAGAAGCACCGGCUAACUUCGUGCCAGCAGCCGCGGUAAUACGAGGGGUGCAAGCGUUAAUCGGAAUUACUGGGCGUAAAGCGUUCGUAGGCGGUUGAAUAAGCAAGAUGUGAAAGCCCAGGGCUCAACCUUGGAACUGCAUUUUGAACUGUUCGACUAGAGUACUGUAGAGGGGGGUAGAAUUUCA
rnacentral:rRNA from 1 species